CUCUUUCACAGAUGAGCCCUGUAUACACAUCAAUCAAAUAUUGGUGGACACAUAGAGAUAGAACAACUGUUCUGUUAUCUACGGAUGGCCAUUAGUGGCCAUUACCACUGAUGAUGACGAAGAUGAUGAAGUAGACCUAUUGUGCUGUUUCAGAGCUUGCAUAUGCGUCUGCUGGUUAGUUUUCAAGAGUUGUUUACACUGUAAUCAGACCUGCAGCAGAGUUGUACAAGUAGUGGGACCCAACUCACUGGAUGAGAGUCUACUGUACAGCAUCUCCACCCAGACUUUAACAACAAAGACAAAGGGAAGGCCAGCUUCUUAUUCAUCAACACAUUCAGAUAGACGUUCAUUAUUGGGAAAGAAACCAGAGAGGGAGAGAGAGAGAGAGAGGAUAGUUCCACCUGCUUGGCCUAUCAUUUUAAAGCCCUGUGCUGGGCUCCAGAGGGGCGCGCCACCGGGGUGGAGCCGCUGCUGA
rnacentral:lncRNA from 1 species